rnacentral:rRNA from 2 species
GGACUACCGGGGUAUCUAAUCCUGUUUGCUCCCCACGCUUUCGUGCAUGAGCGUCAGUGUUAUCCCAGGGGGCUGCCUUCGCCAUCGGUAUUCCUCCACAUAUCUACGCAUUUCACUGCUACACGUGGAAUUCUACCCCCCUCUGACACACUCUAGCCGUGCAGUCUCAAAUGCAGUUCCCAGGUUAAGCCCGGGGAUUUCACAUCUGACUUACACAACCGCCUGCGCACGCUUUACGCCCAGUAAUUCCGAUUAACGCUUGCACCCUACGUAUUACCGCGGCUGCUGGCAC